GUAAAUAUAGUUUACCCAAAACACUAGACUGUGACUCU
rnacentral:tRNA from 1 species